CAUAAUUGAAUACAGUCGCCGACCGAUUUUUCGGACCUGGAGGGGACCGAAAAAUAGUCCGAAAAAUUGAACAGUCCGAAAAAUUCGUUUUUGCCAAAAAUAUGAACUGUAUUA
rnacentral:lncRNA from 1 species